UACAGAGGGGGCAAGCGUUGUUCGGAAUUACUGGGCGUAAAGGGCGCGUAGGCGGCCUUCUAAGUCGAACGUGAAAUCCCUGGGCUCAACCCAGGAACUGCGUCCGAUACUGGAAGGCUUGAAUCCGGGAGAGGGAUGCGGAAUUCCAGGUGUAGCGGUGAAAUGCGUAGAUAUCUGGAAGAACACCAAAGGCGAAGGCAGCAUCCUGGGAAGUUCCUGACGCUCGGGUGCGAAAGCCAGGGGAGCGAACGGG
rnacentral:rRNA from 1 species